ACGAAUGAAGAAGACGGAGAAUUUCAGACGACGACGACGCAAG
rnacentral:sRNA from 1 species